CCUACGGGGUGCAGCAGUGGGGAAUAUUGGACAAUGGGCGAAAGCCUGAUCCAGCCAUGCCGCGUGUGUGAAGAAGGCCUUCGGGUUGUAAAGCACUUUCAGUGGGGAAGAAAGCCUUGGGGCUAAUACCCUCGAGGAAGGACAUCACCCACAGAAGAAGCACCGGCUAACUCCGUGCCAGCAGCCGCGGUAAUACGGAGGGUGCGAGCGUUAAUCGGAAUUACUGGGCGUAAAGCGCGCGUAGGCGGUCUGAUAAGCCGGUUGUGAAAGCCCCGGGCUCAACCUGGGAACGGCAUCCGGAACUGUCAGGCUAGAGUGCAGGAGAGGAAGGUAGAAUUCCCGGUGUAGCGGUGAAAUGCGUAGAGAUCGGGAGGAAUACCAGUGGCGAAGGCGGUCUUCUGGACUGACACUGACGCUGAGGUGCGAAAGCGUGGGUAGCAAACAGGAUUAGAUACCCUUGUAGUC
rnacentral:rRNA from 1 species